rfam:Tilletia walkeri strain DAOM 236422 scaffold_133 mitochondrial, whole genome shotgun sequence.
GGGGAUAUAACUCAGUAGGAAGAGUGAGAAACUUUUAAUUUCUAAGUCAUAGGUUCGAACCCUAUUGUCCUCA